rnacentral:lncRNA from 1 species
UUGCUAUACCUUAAAUUUAGUGUCUUGAAUUCAUACUUUUGGUGACUAUUUAAAGACUCCUUGUUCGUCACUGCACAAAAAAGGGUUAGCAAUCAAAUGAUAUAUUUGUUUAUGGCAAUUGAUACUUAAUAACUCAUAACAUGCAAAGAUAAUGCAUCAGGGUCAUCUUAUUGUUAGAAGCAUGAACAGUGAGCUUUAAAAGACUAUCCAACUUAAAUCCAUAAGAGAGGAUCUAAUAGAAUGGAUUUGGAUUCAAACAUGAGAGGGUUAUGUUCAUCAUCUCGCCAUUAAAAUUCAUUAGGGGUUUAAACUUCAAAAAUAGAAAAGUGGGAUAAGGAUUCAAUAAAUUUUAAUGGUGAGAUGAUCAACGUGAUAAAAAAUCCUAAUAAAAUCUCAUUAAAGUUUUUUUCUAACGAUAAAUAGGAACAGCCAGUGAGUAUCGAAAUGUUAAAAAUAGAGCUAGCACCAUCAAAUCUACGUCUACCAUGUCCAGAAACAGAUAAUGAUAAGAAUUACUACAACUAAAAAAGACUUACCUCUUGUUGUUCCCUGAUUCAAUGUAUUACACAAAAAAAGAAUUCUCUUCAUGAUGUCCUUUAGUUUGCACAUUCUUCAUCUAUCUAAUACUUAAUAUCAUCUUACAUAAAAGAAUACAUAAAAACCAAAAAUCAUACUUAAUAGUUAACGUCAUCAUAAUCACAACAAACAUGUGAAACUGAAAUAUGAAAUAAAUUGAUCCAAACACCUACAAAAUGACCAAGGCUCUAAUAUGGAAAGAAAUCACACCACUUUUAUUUUUCAGAAGCCUUGUUACAACGAAAGGUUUUCCAACACACAAAUUCAAUAGAUUUCAAUCACAACACAAGACUCAACAACAUAAAUAAGCAACAAUGUUCAACAAAAAGACUAAUCUAAAAUUGAGUUUAUUGCAAAGACUAAUUUAAAAUAUUACAGAUAAAUAACUUAUGCCUUAUUGUAAUAUAAAACUGGAGUACUCACACUACUUGUAUCACCCCCAAUCAAGUUUAUCUUUAGCAAUAGCCUAUAAGAAUCCAACCAAGUAUAGAGAAAUAAAUUACAGUGUCUAAGCCUACAAAAUCUACAUAGAAAAUGUUCUCAUUAGAUUGAAGAUUAUGAUGAUCAUCACAAUAACCACAUCUGAUAUUCAUAUGAGCCCUAAUCCAAUCUAUAUUCCUUUAGUUAGGUAAAAGAUUAUACCCCACCUGUAAAUUUCAUUACUCAUUAACCUCCAAAUUAAUUCAAGAACCAUUCCAAAAAUUUAAUUAACAGAUAAAGUUGAUGUACCAACACAAUUCAACAAUCAAGGAUGAAAGUUUUAAACUUUCACCAACAAAAAUCU